rnacentral:rRNA from 1 species
ACUGCUCAGUAACACGUGGACAACCUACCCUAUGGAGGGGGAUAACCCCGGGAAACUGGGGAUAAUACCCCAUAGACUAUGGAAGCUGGAAUGCUCUGUAGUUGAAAGGUCCGCCGCCAUAGGAUGGGUCUGCGGCCGAUUAGGUUGUUGUUGGGGUAACGGCCCAACAAGCCUGUAAUCGGUACGGGUUGUGGGAGCAAGAGCCCGGAGAUGGAUUCUGAGACACGAAUCCAGGCCCUACGGGGCGCAGCAGGCGCGAAAACUUUACAAUGCGGGAAACCGUGAUAAGGGAACUCCGAGUGCCCGUAAAAUCGGGCUGUCCAUCUGUUUAAAUAACAGGUGAAGAAAGGGCCGGGCAAGACCGGUGCCAGCCGCCGCGGUAAUACCGGCGGCUCGAGUGGUGGCCACUAUUACUGGGCUUAAAGCGUUCGUAGCUGGUCUGUUAAGUCUCUGGGGAAAUCUACUGGCUUAACCAAUAGACGUUUCAGGGAUACUGGCAGACUAGGGACCGGGAGAGGUGAGAGGUACUCCAGGGGUAGGAGUGAAAUCCUGUAAUCCUUGGGGGACCGCCUGUGGCGAAGGCGUCUCACCAGAACGGCUCCGACAGUGAGGGACGAAAGCUGGGGGAGCAAACCGGAUUAGAUACCCGGGUAGUCCCAGCCGUAAACGAUGUGCGUUAGGUGUAUCGAUGACCACGAGUCAUCGAGGUGCCGAAGAGAAAUCGUGAAACGUACCGCCUGGGAAGUACGGUCGCAAGGCUGAAACUUAAAGGAAUUGGCGGGGGAGCAC